CUUUUUGGUUAAAUAUGAAGAUUGUUUUGUUCACAUGCCUGCAAAAGGAUUUAGUGUAUCAAAGGAUAUAUGCAGAAGUAGAUGGAUGUUUGUUUUGUUUGUUCUGUUUCUGUCUUGCUUUAAUAUAAAUCUCACCAGAUUGGGUCUGCUGGAUGGUUGAUAUUUCUCCCUAAGAAUUAGCCAUCUACCUCCCUGACCCUGUAACUCUGCGGUGAGGUCAUCGAUAUGAUGGGAGAGUAUAAGCCAAUUAGAUAAAAUUAUUUCAACUAUGUGUUAUUCUCUAUGACAUGUGUCUUAGAAGUCGUAUUAAUACUAUUGGUAGAAGUAAUAAUUUGUCAUAUAGUAAAUAGUUUGUCUGGAUUUCCUGAAACAGAAAUGCCCUAAACUGUUCUGAUCUGUCUUGUUUUGGGGUUAUGCCGAAGGUGACCACAGAUGGUAUCUAGAUGCAUGGACAAUUUGACCAGACAGUGUGGACCUCAUACCCCCUCUGACUGGCUGAAGAGAGCGACAGGAGUCCACGUGGAGUGAGCAUGGAGAGAGAUCCAUUCCAAACUUCUCAAUUCCAAUACUGCUUGGCAAAUGGACAAGACAUAAGGGGUGGUAAAGGUGGAUCCGGCCCAGGUGAGACAUCAGUCUGUUUGGGGAAAAUCUGAUUAUUCCUCAGACAUUGGGAGAUUAUCAUGGGCCAUCCACUUUGAACAUGUGUGCCAUUGGGAAGUCGAACUUUAAAGCUGAAAAUGAAGAAAGAUUGAGUGCCAGGGAGGGGGGUGGUCAACUGUGACUGUAAUUGAUUAGGCUUGUCCAAAAAUGUUACUUGGGGUAUCAGGUUGAUCGUGGAGGUCUACACACUGUGAAAUGCAUAGUAAAUUACACUAAGAAUGCAUUGAGAUACUGAUCUGUAAUUAUAACCGUGAUGAGAAAGUUCAUGCUAGAAUUAUAGAUAAUUACACUGUAUUUUAAUGUAAAUGUACAUUCUGCUAGUGCCGAUGUGUGCUAGGUUGAGGGUUUCAACUUUGAGUGAUAGAACCAACGUGAAUCACUGAGCAAUGUCAUUCUAAAUUUGGAUUGAAUAAUUAAUUAGGUUUUAAUUCAGAUUUGGAAAAUGAAUAUUUUUUUGUAAUUGACUAGAGCAAUUUUUUCUUUGUAUGUUUAUUACUGUAUAAGUAGGGAGAAAUUAAUGUGUUAUGGGUUAGAUAAAAUAAUUUACGUGUAAAUGUAUUCGUGGAAGUGGUCAUUGUGGAAGGAGAGCCCUGCUGGGCCCGGGUCGGGUCUGUUGUGUACUGAUGAAGCAUGUACUCCUGUUUGAUCCACCUAUGUUUUUAACUAUUUGUGUUAACAUUUCUUUACUAUGAUUUUUGACGAGUCUCAAAACCAGGGAGUGUGAGGGAAAAAUCCUGUAUAACCUCUUUUAAGUUUGUAUAGCAGAGACAAUGCAAUGAAGAAUUACUUUAAUAGUUCUUAAUGCUAAACUUUGUUAUGCACGUGCUGUAGGAGCAUUAAACCUGUACAUUUCCACUGGC